rnacentral:piRNA from 1 species
UACAUGAGGUGAGCAUGAAGUGGCCGAUGU